UGGGACUCCAGAUGCCAAGUGCUUGUCUCA
rnacentral:piRNA from 1 species